UUCCAGACUCCUACGGGAGGCAGCAGUGGGGAAUAUUGCACAAUGGGGGAAACCCUGAUGCAGCGACGCCGCGUGAGUGAAGAAGUAUUUCGGUAUGUAAAGCUCUAUCAGCAGGGAAGAAGCAAGACGGUACCUGACUAAGAAGCCCCGGCUAACUACGUGCCAGCAGCCGCGGGAAUACGUAGGGGGCAAGCGUUAUCCGGAUUUACUGGGUGUAAAGGGGGCGCAGACGGCGAUGCAAGCCAGGAGUGAAAGCCCGGGGCCCAACCCCGGGACUGCUCUUGGAACUGCGUGGCUGGAGUGCAGGAGGGGCAGGCGGAAUUCCUGGUGUAGCGGUGAAAUGCGUAGAUAUCAGGAGGAACACCGGUGGCGAAGGCGGCCUGCUGGACUGCAACUGACGUUGAGGCCCGAAAGCGUGGGGAGCAAACAGGAUUAGAUACCCUAGUAU
rnacentral:rRNA from 1 species